UGUCGGACGUGAGGCCUGGGUGGCCGCGCUGGUGCGGGGCCGCCUGGCAGCCGCUGCCUCCGGUCCCGGUCGCCUCGAGCGACCAGUUCGCCGCGCCCCGCGCACGCGCAGGCGCGCCCGGCGGGGCUCCCGCGGAGGGAGCAUGCGCCGUCGGGGCUCCCCGCCCCGGAGCGGGCGGUGGUCGCGAGUGGCGACCUCGCCGGAGCAGGAGGAGGAGUCUCCGGGGCAGCCAGCUUCCGGGGUGACAGCGGCCGUGGGAACGCCUGUGUCCAGGGCGCGCCGCGGUGCGUGACUUCCGGAGAGGAGCGAGCGCCUCCACAGACCGAAGGAAGGCUUCCACGCGCGCAUACGCGCACACUCUCACUCACACACACUCACCCACACACACACUCACACACUCACACACACACUCACACACACACACGUCAAACCGCAGUGCACCCCGCCUGCGCGCCCCUCCCCGGCGUGGGGCGCUGUGCCGGAGGGGUUCUUCUCGCUUUUUUACUGUGUAAACUGGGAGGAGGAGCCUGCUGAACCUUGAAACUUCCUGAGUUCCUCACACCUCAGUGUUCGUCUAUUUAAACUGUAAUUUUAUUACACUUACUGAUCUGUGUGAGCGUUUGCUGACGUCAGAGGACAACCUUUGCCUGGCAUCUCCUUCUGUUUGAAUCCUGGGGACAGAAGUGUCGGGUUUUCUGGUCCUUGCCCAGCGAACCAUCGUGUUGGAACCUCUAGAGAAAGGUUCCAGAGAACUCGGGGCAAUCCAGCUGAGUCGUAUGGCUCUCGCUGACUCACCUGAUCUGCUGCAUCGUGCUGAUUGGUGUUGCUGCUUGGUGCUGGCCUUUGGACUGGACUGCUGGUGUCUGGACAACGAAGAGUGGACUCACCUGAGGAACUACUUCUAAGAAGUCCUACAACCCCCUUUCCUGAUAACCUUCUUUUUCUCCCCUGCCUCUGGCCAGAGGCUGAAAGGGAGGAAGGAGCGUUGAAGAACCCUAAAUCAAGUAGGUUUGGUGAAAAGCCUAAGCCUAUAGGCUCCUAGCACGAUACAGCUCGCAGCAAAACAUCACGUGUCCCCUCACAAGACAGUUUCCAGCAGACUAUCUCAUGACACAGCUGAGUCUUUAGGGAAACCAGAAACUGGAUGUGGCCUUGGCCCAUCCAGUGCAUGUGUGAUUCAUAGCAGCCUGGGCCUCCAGCUCCUGCAGCACCAGCACUCCCCUUGGACGCUGCAUGGGUGGUGCAGAGACAUUCGUGCAUCAAAACACUGUAAUAUGAAAACUAAUAAUUAAACAAAAAUUUAAAAGCUGGGAAACAGCAGAGAUCAAGAUUGCAAAUAGACAACUUUUUCUGUAAUUAGGGAACCCAAACAGUAGGAGAGUUUUCAGAUUCGAGAAGAAUUUCAUUUUGGAACAUACUAUUUUCUUAAGUAGGUAGGAAGAGUUUUUUUCUUGGGAUAGUAGAUCACAUAGGUAAUUUAAGGAGAAUUAGUGUGCGGGACCCCUGAAAGGAGCUGUGUGGAAGCUGCAGUUGCCUCAAACUCUUUCUUUUUGGGCUUCUGUUAGAUUCUGCUUGGCGAGACUGUCUUUGUUCAGAUCCACUUAGAAGUGACUUGAGUUUUGAAGUGAGAAGGCUCAUGUUUUAUUUCGAUCCUCAGUGCUGGGGGUUGAACCCCGGGCCGUAGCCAUUGCAGGCCUCUGAGCUGCAUCAUCCCUUGGUCUUUUCUGUGGGAUUGGGAAUUGAAUCCAGAGCCUUGCAUGGGUAGACAGACACUUUGAGCUGUGCCUACAACCCUCUUACAACAGCGACAGCAGCAGCAACUUCUUUGGUUCUUUCCCUCUCUCUCUCUUUUGAAACAAGGUCUCAGGAAAUUGCCCAGGCAGGCUGUGGGUUUGUAGUCCUGAGAAACUAAGAAAAUCACUUUGAAACAAACUUUUGCUGUUGUUACAAAGACCUAAUUGUAAAUCAACUUCCUACCCUCCCUCUGGAAAGAAGGCCCAGAUAUGUCGCUGCCCUGUCCUUUCCCUGAGGGUUGUAAGCACAGUGACAGCCCAGGCUUGGUUGGAGCAUGCUCAUAAGGCUAGAGAGAUGCCUCAGUGCUGGAGAGCUACUCUGCCAAAGAACCUGGGUUCCCUGCAUCCCAUUCCCAGCACCCACAUGGCGCUCACACUGUCUGCAACUCCAGUUCCAGCUCCAAGCCCUCUUCCAGCCUCCUUGGGCACUAGGCCCAUAUGAGGUACACAGACAAAAUACCCAUAGACAUAAAGAUUGCAGUUUGGUGUGGCAGUCACUUUAAAAAAUCAAGAACUAGAAGAAAAUUUCCCCAUGUAUUCAACAUUUUAUAUAAGGAUCAUACAGUCAGAGAGACAAAAUAUAAACAUUAAGUUUCAAAAACAUAUUCAACAUUGUGCAUUUUUCUAAAGAUUUAGAUUGUGUUAGGCUUUUGUUUUUGUUUUGUUUUGAUUUGAGACAGAGUUUCUCUAUAGCCUUGGCUGUCCUAGACUCACUUUGUAGACCAGGCUGGCCUCAAACUCACAGCAGUCCACCUGUCUCUGCCUCCCUGAGUGCUGGGAUUAAAGGUGUGAGCCACUGUGCCUGGCUGUGUUAGUUAUUUUUAAACCCUUUAAAAUUGUCCAGUCCAUUUCUUUUCUUUUUAUGGAAAUAAUCAGUUUUGAGAACUUAAAUGGCUGCUUUAGAGGACACACAGGCGUACUCCAGAUAAUUGAGCCCUCCCUGGAACCAGCUCAAGGUCGAGUGCUCAGGUUUAUGUAGCAUAAAACCUUGGUAGAAAGGACUGGCACCUUCCAAGCUUCUUUUGAUUUACACUUUAGUUGUAAUAAGGUGGUUACUAAACACGUCAUGUGGACGAUGCUGUGUUAGAGUUAAUCAGAGUAAAACUUUAGUUCAUGACUGUUGGGACAAAAUAUGAACAAUGAAAGCAAAAAAACAAAACAGAACAAAAGGCUGCCCCAAGUGCCAUAGUAGCAACUGUGUGCCUCGUUUUGCUUGGUUUUAUCUUAUCUUGUUUUUUAAAAGACUGUUCUGUCUUUCAAGCUAGGCUGGUACUUUCCUGUGGCCCAAGCUGUCCUUGAAUUUUGGGCCUUCCUUUAGCCUCAGCCUCCCGAGUUCUGACACUGCGGAAAUGCACCACCAAGUCGACCUUUGGGCUAUUAGAGCCGCAGUGUUCAAUGACCGCAGCUCUUCUGUGUCAUCCGUCCAGAGACACAAAGUCAGGAGCUUGUCACUCCAGUCCAAUAUGUCUUUAUUCUUCUCUGCACCAUUUACACUUCGCCAUUUUAAGCUAGCUGGAGCAGAAUGUGGAAUUUGUUGCACGGCGAGUUAGUGAUGUUGCUUGGUUAUCAUGAAUAACCCCGGUCCUCUUCUGGGCCCCUCAAUUCUCCCCUAAAACUGGGACAAGUGCCCACUGCACCUAAACCUGCUGUGAUGACCAGGGACAGCUUCUGUUUUGUCAGACUAUGUGAGGCCCUAUGGCCUAUGUGACCCUCCUGCUGGGCUGGGAGGUGCAAAGCUGUGGUUCAGGAGGUUUUGGAUUUCCUCUGCAGUGUAGACCUGGGGCCUUAGCCAUGCCAAGCAAGUCACUGCCACUGAGCACCCAGCACCCAGGAGAUUCAGUAGGGCUGCCCUGCUGUACGUGACUUCACAGCGCUUCUACAUUAUGUCACACCAUGUUACGACAGUGACAGAUGCUGUCCUGGUUCAGAUGUAAUAGAUGGGGCAUACAGAAGCUGCGUCAUCUCCCUCUCCUCACUGUAGGUAAUCGUUUAGACAUACAUGUUUGUGCGUGUGUGCGUGUGUGUGUGUGAGAGUGUGUGUGUGUGUGUGUGUGUGUAAGAGAGAGGGAGGGAGCACAACACAAACCUUUCACCAUGUGGAUUCUGGGGAUGGAGCUUGCAUCAUUGGGCUACAAACACCUUUACCCCUGUCCAUCUCACAGGUUCCUGUAAAUCACUCCAACUUACCUCCAUGUUUGUAGAAAGAAAGGUGUCGCAGGGGUCCUUGCUGGCCUUACUUUCCUCCCUUCUGCGAAGAGCCUCCCAUGGCUUGUGCUCCAUGAAGCUGCUUACACAUGGUCCCAGGGAACGAGUCCGGGCUCAGCUGUCUCUUCAGGCUUAAAGGCUCAUUGUCUUGUUCUUGGUACCCCCUUUUAAAAUAUUAGGUUUUGUUUUGCUUUGUUUUGUUCUAAGUGUGUCAGACCUUUUGAGAAAACUGCCCCUGACCAUUAGCAGUGAUUGGGAAUGCAGACAGGAGGCUGGGUCACGGGAACCAGGCCAGACUCUAGAACCAUACUAGACUCUAGUUCCUUCCUGGAACUAACUUAAUCAGAGUAGGUUGAAGAAAUGGGUCUAUAGCCACAGGAAAGAAAGUCUACAGGUGCUUUGGGUGGAAUUUUAGGUAGCUGUCAGAGUAGAGGAAACAGUGUCAAAGGUCACCUCUAUAGUCACACCACCCCGAGUGUGCCCAGUGUCAGCAAAGACUCUGUAGGACUGGAUCUUCGAAGGGGCCUGAUGACUGGGAUGCAGAGAUCCAGAUGUUGUUACAGAGCAAGCUGGCGUAGAACGGAGGGAACCGUGGGACAGGAGCUCUGUGCUGGGGCCUGUGAGUAGGAAGGGAAACACGGAUAAAAGCAGAGUCGGAAGAGUGGGGAGCAGCUGCAGCCACAGCUGGGAGUCGUUGCCUUAGGCCUGUUAAAGAAGUUGGACAGGGCUGGUGAGGUGGCUCACGCCUGCAGGCCCAGCACUGUGGAAUUGGACUGUAAAGCCACCCUAAACCAAAUAGCAAGUUUUGAAACCAGUGUGGCUACACGAGACCCUUCUGAAAAUUCUCAGUUCAGUUGGGACACUGCGUGGCUAGCACACCCAAUGAAUGGGUUCUGUCUCCAGCACGGCGUAGGCGGGGUGUGAUGGUGCACAGCUCUAAUCCCAGCACUCAAGAGGUAGAGGCGGCAGGGGCAGAGGUUCAGAAACACCCUGACUGCACAGCAAGCUUAAGGAAGGCCAGCCUGCGUUGCCUGAGACGCUGGCCCGCCUCCUCAGAUGGACAGUAUUUUCUCUGGAUGUCCAGGCAGGGUGCUGACGAGAACAGAGGACAUGUGCAGUUCUUGGCAAAGGAUAAAAUGGACUGGAAAGAGCCUAGAUUGGCCAGCAGCACGGGGCUCACAGGCUGAGUUUGUGCAUCUGGUCUGAGCUGUGUGACUGAGAGAAACUUAGGUACCUCUGCAUCUUCUCUGUGACAGGGUGCUCCUGAUAGGUAGAUGUUACAUGCCGUACAAACUCUUAUGUGCCUGGCACAUUAUAGAUGCUGUACAAUCAUUAUUAUGACAUUUCUGCUUGCCUCCCUUCUUGGUGUGUGUGUGCGCACGCUCGAGGUGCACCAAGGAGGUGCGCGAGCAAGCGAGCGAGUGAACACAUUCGCAUAUGCCUCUGUGUAUUCCUUUAGGUCCUACCUAGGUAACCUACAAACAACAAUUUCAUUUGUGUGUGAGCUUUGCACUUUAAAUUUUCUUUUACAUUUUCUUACUGAAGAUGUGCAUGAAAUCUGUAAAUGCAGGACACUUGUAAGUAGUUUGGAAUACUGGUAGAGAAGUGGAGAAAAGGCGGCUUUGUCUCUAGCUUACACAAUCUCUUAUUUUUAUACUCUGCUUUCAGUCAGCCAUGUAGAAAAUGUUUCCAUUAGUCGCCAAAAGGGCAGGAAGAUUAAUGUGUUUAUGUAACCAUGAACAAAAUAUUAUACUUUAAAUAUUUUAGUCUUGAAUUGAUUUAUUCACAGAUGUAUUUAGCAAAAUUUGUUAUUGUUAAGGCGGUAGAACAUCUAGUCAGUGCCAGGAAGAAAAAAGAUGGGACUUGGGGCUCACUCAGUGCCCAGGAUUGCUGCUGGUUAUGGCAUCAGAAGACAUGCUUGAAGAUCAGUAGGGUUCCAGUUAGGACCUCAAAGAAGUUUCCUGCCUUCUUGGAACUUGAACACGUUCAUUGAUGUGGUGGCCAUCAGGGGCUGGGGAGAGCUCAGUGGGUAAGGUGCCUGCUAUGCCAGCAGGGACACCUGAGCUCACAUCCCAGCCCCACGUGAAAAGGCGGGCACAGCAGCUCGGAUCUGAAGCCCUGACCUUAUGCCAGAGAGGACAGCACUGGGGAUCCAGCCGGUCUAGCCGAGACCUUGAGUUCCAGGCCUUGUGAGGCCCAGCCUAAGCCUCCAAGUGCUGGGACCACAUCACACCUGCCUGAUUCUUCUUUUUCUUUCAAACUGUGGAUGGGAAGAAAAGUGUGCAAAGCAUUCCCACCCCUCCUGCACUCACUCUCUUCACCCAGCCUGCUCUCUGUGCCCGUCACACGGCCGAACCCGGACUUGCGAAAGACAUCCUUCAGGCCUUUUUUCUUAAUUGCCAUCACUUGUGAUCCUUCGGCCUCCUGACUUCUCCACGAUUGCACACCCAGAUCUUUGUGGAGUUAGUAGUGGCAGGUUGUCCAGGAGAGGGCAGUGUGGUGUGUUUAAGCUGAAGGUCUCUGGCUUCUUUCCCUGGCUUUGCUACAUUUAUGUUGGGUUUAACAGCAUGUGCAUGUAAUGUUGCUUGGGGUUUGGUGUGCAGUCUACAACAUUGGCUUCUUGGGAGGUUGAGUCAGGCAAGUUCAAGUCCUUCUCAGGCACCAAAAUCCUGUUUCAAAAUUAGAGUGUGCCAGUAAGACCGAGAAAGCCUGGCAACUUGAGUUAGGUCCCUGAACCAUUGUGAAGGUGGGGGAAGGGCACUCACCUCUCAGAGUUGGCCCUGACCUCCACAUGUGUGCCCACUCUCGUCACAUAUGCACAAAUAUGUGCACACUAAUGACAAAGUCAUUUAAACUGAAAGAUAGCUGGGGCGGGCUGGGGCCAUAGCUCAGUUGUAGAGCACUUGGCCAGUGACUCCCAAAGCUCUGCACUCAACACUCAGCACUGUAAAAUGGGUGUAAUUUUACACCACACAGUUACCGAUAUCUUGUCAUCAUUUCCCCAGUAGACAGCAAGCAGGCAGAUUUUUUUUUUUUAAAAUAUCCAGCUGUAGAUGGUUAUAUGAUGACUCUCUAGCAGGAAGGCUUGUCUUAA